GACGAACGCUGGCGGCGUGCUUAACACAUGCAAGUCGCACGGGACCCGCAAGGGUUCAGUGGCAAACGGGUGCGUAACACGUGAGGAACCUGUCCAACGGUGGGGGAUAGCCGGCCCAACGGCCGGGUAAUACCGCGUACGACCUUCGGGGGGCAUCCCCCGAGGGUGAAAGCAGCAAUGCGCCGAUGGAGGGCCUCGCGGCCUAUCAGCUAGUUGGUGAGGUCAUGGCUCACCCAGGCAACGACGGGUAGCUGGUCCGAGAGGAUGACCAGCCACAUUGGGACUGAGACACGGCCCAGACUCCUACGGGAGGCAGCAGUGGGGAAUCUUGCGCAAUGGGCGAAAGCCUGACGCAGCGACGCCGCGUGUGGGAUGAAGGUCUUCGGAUUGUAAACCACUGUCGGGAGGGACGAAGCUCUGACGGUACCUCCAAAGGAAGCACCGGCUAACUCUGUGCCAGCAGCCGCCGUAA
rnacentral:rRNA from 1 species